GCAAACCUGCGUAUUUCACAACUUAAAAGAGUAUAUGUUAGCAGGAAAUAUCUACAAUUUAUGCCAUCAAAUAUUCACAGUCCAGCACAAUUAGCGGAGAAAUAGCAGACCAAGGAGAGGGAAUAGAAGAAAAGAACCAGUCAAAAGUAAUUAUCAACUAAAAUAUUUAUAAUCACUCAUUCAAUAUUAUGUCCCAUCAACUAAAUGAUGGCAGUAUCCCAAUGGCACACUGAAGGCCCAAGGGUACUCUUUCCUAGAAACUAUCAUUCUUGGGCUGGUUUGCAUGACUUCCAGACUGACCAAAAGGAGACCCAUCAGCUGGCCACUUAUCGACCCCAGAACUUCCAGCUACCUGCAAGGGAUCUAUAUCCCAUAAAUCUGACAAACCAGAGCUAACACCAAAGUCUGGAACAUAGCUGCUACGACUAUCCCAUAACUCGGCACCAGUGCUUGGCAUGCCAGCACUGGCUUCAAAACCCAUACCCCAAAGUUCCUCAUCUUUCACCAUACUUCCAAUAGCUGGUGUGGAAAAUCCUGAAACGUUCUUCUCCUUCCCCAUCUCCUCUGGAAAAGAGGCAAAGUACUCGGGCAUAACUUCUAUUUGAGGACUAGCUACAUUCUUCCCUUUGAAUUGAGAGCCUUCGGAGUUAAAGAAUGAAGCUCCUCGUAUUUCCCGAUCUGAACAAUUAAGAAGUUCAUGUGCCACUGUCAGUUCAUCAGCAACAGGAACACCUUCAAAAGGCAUGGCUUCCGCUCCUAAACCAAUUUCUGGGAGUUGUUGAUCCACAACUGUAUUGAAAUCUGGGCUGUCAAAGCAUCCUGCAAGGUCUUGAAAGUCAGACCUGAACUUGACUAUCUGCCCUUGCAUUGAAGACGACCCCACUCCAUCCGGACCAUGUGACUGAUGUUUAACAAAUUUCCUCAUUGUUCUUGGACUAGUAAUUUCUCCUUGCUCCUUCAUCUGCCGAACACGAGCCAAGAAUGUGGGAUUUUGAAGCACCUUGGCCAAGAAUGAAACCAUCUGCUUCUGUCUUUGUUCUGCAGCCUGAAGCUUUUCAUUAACGGAUUCCAUUUGUUGAACUGUUCCACGCUGCUGCUGCUGCAACUCAACAACUUCCUGCAUCAUCAAACUCUUCUCAUUCCUGAGUUUCUCUAUCUCAUCCAUAGUACCUUUCCCUGCUUCAGCAGAUGAUCCAGAAGAACUCCCACCCUGAUGUGACCUUCGCCUCUGUAUGUUCUUCAACAAAUGCCUCUUCCCUCUCGAGAACCCUUCAUUCGCAAACUCCCACCUGUCAGCAUCGAUUUUGCGAAAUCCCUGAAUAAAGGUGCCCAAAAGUAAUUCAGAAACAAAAAUCGUCCUAAACUAUCAGACCUACAACAUGAGAAUAAUGAUCAUAUAACAAAAUGAAAUUUUUACAUAAAGCAAGAUGCUAACUGUCAAAUUUUCAUGAGUUCCAGGAGCUGCAUUACACUAGAAAUACACAAUUAGUAGAUCUUUUGAAGUUAGACCAUAUAUAAACUACAAAGCUUAAACACUCUGUUUAAUCAGAACCUUUGAAUUCUACCUGCAGCAAUAGAUGAACCUCCCAAACUCAGCAGAUGCAUCAAUGCAGGGAGCUUUAUCUACAAGCCCACAUCACGAACAGCGCACCUCUUUACCAUUUUCCUUAAGAACCCACCAUUUUACUAUCCACUAAAGAUCUCAAUGACAUCAUUUACACAAGAUGCCAAAAACAUUGAACUAUCAAGAAGAAAAAACAGUUCUCCAACUCUCAUUUACAAUCGCAGGAGCCUAUACUGUUUACAACGCGAAAAAUCUAUUUACAUUUACAUCCUAAGACAUUAUCUUUACAGUAUAUCAACAACAAAAGAGCAAACAAACUACAGAAAAAUGAGGGAAAAAAU
rnacentral:misc_RNA from 1 species